UAUUCUUUCUGUAAAGGAUGGAAAUGCCAGCUUUGAUAUUCACAAUUCAUUAUCUCUUCCAGUUAGUGUGAUUGAUUCUGGAUAGGUAAGCUUUUAUUGUUUGUUCCUAUAGUGCUGUGAGAUCUCCCCCUUUGCAGCUGCUUCAUAUGUUUGCAUAACAUGCUGAAUUCUGAGCCAUUUGCUUUGCCUAGCUAUUGAUGAUACUGAUUGGGAUUGUCAAUUUGAGAAACAGUCUCAGAAGGCUCCCACUAGAAUUGACUUGCUGAAUGCAAAACAGUGUCAAGAAUUGGAGGUUGAUGGGGCAUUGCCAGCUGAUGCCACAGUACAUGCUGGACUAAUUCCUCCAGGGGUAUUUGUGGCUGUUCUUCGUCCAAAGAGUUUUGGUUCUUCUAGUGCUUCAAAUGACUUGGACCAGAAGGACAUUCUGAAGAUUAAUUUAGAGAUGUCAAUGGAAGUCAAUUUUAGAAGAACCAAGAACCCUCAAGAUGUUAAACAUAUUUGCUCAGGCCAUAUUACACCUUCAUUCUGUAAAGGGUUUCAUGGCUUGUGUGUAUUCUCACUUGGGUGCAAGUUCCCCCGCUUGUUUCAAGAAGCAGGCAUAUAUUCCUUUUUUUCUGUUGAACAUUCAGGUUGUCUGAAAUGCAAGAAAAUACUGCUGGUAGUGCCUUCGCAUAAGGUUGGGAAGUGGCAGCUUCUGAGUGAUAGAAAGAUUCCAUAAUAUAAUGUGAGGUAGGAACUUGAGGAUAUGAGUUGCGGAUUUGCUGUUCAAUGAAUUCCCUACCAAAUUAAGUUAAAUGUUUUAGGAAUUAAUAUUCUUUCUAGAAGUACAUUGUG